UUUCCUGUGGCUCAGUUAGAAGGGCAUUACGUUAACAACGCAAAGGUCGCGGAUUCAAAUCCUAGGGAAA